rnacentral:rRNA from 1 species
GACGAACGCUGGCGGCGUGCUUAACACAUGCAAGUCGAGCGGUAAGGCCCUUUCGGGGGUACACGAGCGGCGAACGGGUGAGUAACACGUGGGUGACCUGCCCUCAGCUCUGGGAUAAGCCUGGGAAACCGGGUCUAAUACUGGAUAUGACUCCAUGACGCACGUUGUGGGGUGGAAAGCCUUGUGCGGCUGAGGAUGGGCCCGCGGCCUAUCAGCUUGUUGGUGGGGUGAUGGCCUACCAAGGCGACGACGGGUAGCCGGCCUGAGAGGGCGACCGGCCACACUGGGACUGAGACACGGCCCAGACUCCUACGGGAGGCAGCAGUGGGGAAUCUUGCGCAAUGGGCGAAAGCCUGACGCAGCGACGCCGCGUGAGGGAUGACGGCCUGGUG